UUGAAGUGUGGAAUGCUCCAGGGCAAAGACAUGGAUCCACAGGCACAGGUGGAAAUAGGAGCUCACGCUUGAAUGAGUCAAGAAUACACAGAGAGUCUGCACAUCUCUUUUGAGCAGUUUGCUGUUUGUGUCGUUUAAAAUAGUGAAGGCUGAAAUUGUAGGAUACCUUAACAAGGCAGCUCAAAGAAUUUAACGAUGAGAAAUCGCUCGCUUUUACUUCAUCAUUCAAAGAACAAGCAAUGAAGAGACUUUUUCCUUGAAAGGGAUGGAGGAGGAAGUGUAGAGGAGCUAGCCUUAACUAUUUACUUCUGUCUUGGGAAAUCCAAAACUGGUCCACAGGGUUCACGGAUGACAGGGCAGCAGGCAGCAGCAGCAGGAGCUCUGGGUGAGGCUGUGGGAGUCUACUGGGGGUUGUUUUCUAAGGGGACUCAUAAAAUGAUCCCUGCGGCCCCAUUCCCAAGAACCAGGAACAUGGGGAUGUUCAGAGCUGUUUAACAUAACUCCCCAAUGGCAUCUGGUUAAUUCCAAGUGAUUGGGAGGACAAGAAGGAUUCUGGGGGCUGUGAAAAGGAAAAGGCUGAUUUGGGGGAAAGGAAGCAGAAAUAGUUAGGCCCAUGUCACAGCUGUGUGAUAAAUCUCUGGCCAUCCAUGCUGAAGUUCAUGGUGCUAAACUUAGAACCCAAGGCCAGGCCUGGGUAGGUUUGAGCAUCAAGGUCCUCUGAGGGGCAGCUGGGGGUGUUCAGCCUGGAGAAGAGGGGAGCCUUAUUGCUUUCUACAACAAGAGAGGUUGUAGCCAGAUGGGGGUUGGUCUCUCCUCCCAAGCAAAAAGUGGUAGGACAAGAGGAAAUGGCCUCAAGUUGUACCAGGGGAGUUUUAGAUUGAAUAUUAGAAAAAUUUUCUUCAAUGAAAGUGUUAUCAAGCAUUGGCACAGGCUGCCCAGGGAUGUGGUGCGGUCAUCAUCCCUGUAGGUAUUUAUAAGACAUGUAGAUGUGGCACUUAAGGACGUGGUUUAGUGGUGGACUUUGCGGUGCUGGGAAAAUGGUUGGACUUGAUGGUGUAAAGGUCUUUUCCAACCUAAACAGUUCUGGGAUUCUAUGAUAAAGAUUUCAUGCACAGCCCUGGUUCACAUAUCCUGGCUGUUGAGGGGCAGUAGGUAAAGCACAUGGACUCGGUCUCUCCCCUCCCUCUUCAAAGGAGUUUUAAAUGUCUCUCAGAUGCACUUGGGGUAAGUUGGGGAGGGAGGGAAUGACCUUUGGAUUCUCCCUCCAGAGGGAACCUGAGAAAAUGACCUUUUGGCCCUUAGCUCUGCAGGGCCUCGGGAGAGGUCGGGAGGAAUGACUCUUGGUCCAAUCUUGCUCACCACAGGGGCUAGGGCAAGGCAAAAGAGAAAGAACUCCAGGAAUAUGUGAUCACGGGAAUUUCUGUCGUCUUCUGAAAAAGAGGCAUGUUUACUUCAUAGCCCCUGUAAGAAAAAUAACCUGCCAGUGAGAAACAAGCAAGUCCAUUUAAAGCAAGAAAAAGCCUCAACUCAGUGACCUAGAAAUCAAUGCUGAAAGUAAAAGCUGAUAAAUAAAUAAAUAAGUAAAUAAAAUAAUCAGAGAUGUCGUGCAAAAAUCAAGGGGUGCCCUCUGAAGAGGUGUAAUCAAGGCUCUGAGCCUUCAGUUAUAAUGGUUUUGAUUAAAGAAAGCUGUGCAGAAAUAAUCUAUUUUAUUUUUAAAUGGCCUGAUUUUCCCUCACUACUCUCUUGGAGGCUGAACCUAGAACAAUUUGGAGGAGGACAUGAAGCGUUCAGUGAAAAA